rnacentral:tRNA from 1 species
CAUUAGAUGGCUGAAAGUAAGCAAUGGAAUUUUAAAUCAUUUUAUGAUAAGUAACGUUUAUCUCUAAUGA